UCUCCAUGAUCCUAUGCUGCCGAGAAAAGCCUCUAGCGAGCUGGUACAUGGCCCGUACCCCAAACCGACACAGGUGGUCAGGUAGAGAAUACUAAGGCGAUCGAGAGAACUGUGGUUAAGGAACUCGGCAAAAUGCCCCCGUAACUUCGGGAGAAGGGGGACCAGUCCUGGUGACGACAUUUACUGUCUGAGCUGGGGUUGGUCGCAGAGACCAGAGAGAAGCGACUGUUUACUAAAAACACAGGUCCGUGCGAAGUCGUAAGACGAUGUAUACGGACUGACGCCUCCCCGGUGCUGGAAGGUUAAGAGGACCGGUCAGCCACUUCGGUGGCGAAGCUGAGAAUUUAAGCCCCAGUAAACGGCGGUGGUAACUAUAACCAUCCUAAGGUAGCGAAAUUCCUUGUCGGGUAAGUUCCGACCUGCACGAAUGGCGUAACGACUUCUCUGCUGUCUCAACCACAGACUCGGCGAAAUUGCAGUACGAGUAAAGAUGCUCGUUACGCGCGGCAGGACGAAAAGACCCCGGGACCUUCACUAUAGCUUGGUAUUGGUGUUCGGUUCGGUUUGUGUAGGAUAGGUGGGAGACUGUGAAACUCGCACGCCAGUGUGGGUGGAGUCAUUGUUGAAAUACCACUCUGACCGUAUUGGACAUCUAACCUCGGACCAUGAUCUGGUUCAGGGACAGUGCCUGGUGGGUAGUUUAACUGGGGCGGUUGCCUCCUAAAAAGUAACGGAGGCGCCCAAAGGUUCCCUCAGCCUGGUUGGCAAUCAGGUGUUGAGUGUAAGUGCACAAGGGAGCUUGACUGUGAGACGUACAUGUCGAGCAGGGACGAAAGUCGGGACUAGUGAUCCGGCACCGGCAAGUGGAAGCGGUGUCGCUCAACGGAUAAAAGGUACCCCGGGGAUAACAGGCUGAUCUUCCCCAAGAGUCCAUAUCGACGGGAUGGUUUGGCACCUCGAUGUCGGCUCGUCGCAUCCUGGGGCUGGAGUAGGUCCCAAGGGUUGGGCUGUUCGCCCAUUAAAGCGGCACGCGAGCUGGGUUUAGAACGUCGUGAGACAGUUCGGUCUCUAUCCGCCGCGCGCGUAAGAAACUUGAGGAAACCUGUCCCUAGUACGAGAGGACCGGGACGGACGAACCUCUGGUGUGCCAGUUGUUCCACCAGGAGCACCGCUGGUUAGCUACGUUCGGAAGGGAUAACCGCUGAAAGCAUCUAAGCGGGAAGCCUGUUCCAAGAUGAGGUUUCUCACCACCUAGCGUGGUUAAGGCCCCCCACAGACCAUGGGGUUGAUAGGCCAGAACUGUAAGCACAGCAAUGUGUUCAGGUGACUGGUACUAAUCGGCCGAGGACUC
rnacentral:rRNA from 1 species